rnacentral:rRNA from 1 species
CACGUAGGGGGCGAGCGUUGUCCGGAUUUAUUGGGCGUAAAGAGCUCGUAGGCGGCUCAGUAAGUCGGGUGUGAAAACUCCAGGCUCAACCUGGAGACGCCACCUGAUACUGACUGUGGCUAGAGUCCGGUAGGGGAGCAUGGAAUUCCUGGUGUAGCGGUGAAAUGCGUAGAUAUCGUAAGGAAGACCAGUGGCGAAGGCGGGUCUCUGGACAGUUCCUGACGCUGAGGCACGGAAGGCCAGGGGAGCAA